rnacentral:lncRNA from 1 species
AAGCUGCUCCUGAAGAGCUUUACAAUUUGCAGAAAUGAGACAAUCUAUUAAAUAGAUUAAUAUAUAGUCUACCAACAUACAGAAGGAAGAAAUUUUCUUAGAAAUGACAUGUGAAUAAGAAACUCAGAUAAAUGCAUUUUUAAAUUAAUUUUUAGUUAUACCUCUACCCUUAUGCAAGGUUCUACACAAAUCCCAAGAGCAAUAGCAUUUCUAACAUACUCGUUUUAAUUAUUUGAAGUUAUUGCGAUGUAUUUCAAUCAUAUUCACCUAACACUCUUCUCCCUAACUCCUUGUUCAUUCACUCCCCAAUAUUCCAUUCCUUCUCAGUGUCAUGUCAUUUUUUAAUGACCCAUUGAGUCCAAUUUGUGCUGUUUGUCCAUAUCUUAAAUUAGUAUGAGGUCAUCCCCUGGAAGAUAUAAAUGUAUCAUUUUGUGUGUGUGUGUGUGUGUGUACAUACACAUAUACAUAUUUGAUUGUCAUAGCCGGCCGCAGUGGUGCACCUUUAUGGCAUUAAAAUGCCUUUAAUCCCAGCACUUGGAAGGCAGAGGCAGGCAGCGCUCUGUGAGUUCAAUGCCAAUCUGGUCAACAGAGCAAAUUCCAGAUCAUCCAGAGUUACCUAGUAAGACUCUAAAAAAAAAAAAAAAAAAGACAAAAGGAAAGAAAGAAAACUGACUCUUAGCAGCUAUCGGCUGUCAAUAGCUCCUCAGAUAGGGCUGGGGACUUGUGAACCCCUCUUUAUAUACUAAUAGUAUUCUAGAAAAAUUAAAAAUGUCAUUUAUACUGACACCAAAGUUGCUGAGAGAAUGUAAAGCUUGCUUUGCAGAGCCCAACACGUGACUUCAGCCUUUCAUGGAAGAAGGGAAAACAAAGGGGAGAGGAGCUCAAAAGCCAGUCAUGGAUAGACACGUCCCACUUCAUCCAUGAGAACAUUGAAAUUAUGUCUAAUUCAUUAUAUAUGCAUAUGGACAUAUAACUAUAUAUGUUUAUAUGUAUAUGUGUAUACAUUUACAUGUAAGGAAAAUGCUGUAGAAAUAGUUUUUUAUUGAUUUCAAUGGUUGGAGAUAAAUCACCUCAAAUCAUAUAAUUCUUUGGGUAACACAGAUUUUUUUUUUGUGACCAUAUGUUAUUCUUUGAAUUUUUUUCUCCAUAAAGUUAAUUAGAAAUUUAUUACCUGUAAGUCAUAACCUCCCUAAAACAAGAUUUUUUUAUAUCUAGUUUUAUGAGUAUAAUACAAUACCUUUUGGGAGAAGACAAAAAUAUUUAAAAGAUUUAAAAAAGUAUGUUAUAAUUUGAAAAAGACAAUAAGGUGUUAUAAUUUUAUAGAUAAUACAAACAUAUUAUUCAAUAACAUGAAGAUGACAAUCUUCCCAAUAGAAACUGAGUCAUCAAGAUCAGAAGUACUCUAGAAUACUGAGUUCUCUGUGACAUCCCGUGUAUAUGAGUUCGAGAACACCCUGAUGGUUUACUACCAUCAUUAUUAUAGCACAAACACUUCAGGAAAGGUAAUGAAAAUAUUCAAAUGCUUAAUGAGAUUUUGGCAAGCUUUCAUUAUGAAAGAUUUAAAUGCUUUUCCUGUUAAUAAUGAAGCUAUAUCAUUCAACAGUAAGAAUAUUUGUAUGGCAAGCCAGUGAGCUGAGUUUCCCACAAAAUGUCUAACAAUAUUCAGUUUCAUCAAUAGUUCAUGUAUCAAGCCACAUGUCUGAAAUUUGGGUUCAGAAAAUUUCUUAAGUUGCCACAAAUGUUUUCCCAGUCAAGAUGAAACACUUUCAAAUGAAAGUAGUUAGAACUUUACAUAACAAAAUGUGGUGCUUUAUUAUUAUUGUUGUCGUCGUUGUUAUGAUUAUUAUUAUUAUUACAAUUAUGUCUAACAGUGUUCAUCACUAAAACUGCAAUACUGUAUCAUAAAUGUGCAGGAUGACUAUUCCAGCCAUCACAAGGUCCAAAAGAGAAAGUGUUAUUUUCCUGUUAAUGACAUGUAGUCCCUUUGUUCUAGUAGCUAAAAGGUGCCUAGAGGUAGUAUAUAGAGUAAAUAUUGUUCCGUUAGUCUAUUUCCUGCAGCUUCCAUUAUCUAAGGAAAUGUCCAUAAGAUUUUGUUUACAAGUCUUUGUUCUAGUCAAUAACAGGAGACGUCAUAUUACUGGGCUGAUUUUGCUUACAUCUACAAAAGAAAUGUUAUGUGAUACUCAGGCCUCGCUUUCUCUUACAUCAUACAUCUUCAAGGAAUGUCAAUAAACUCACUUUGGUAUGGC